rnacentral:lncRNA from 1 species
CUGGCUCAUUACUGGGUUCAGGUUCUUGGACUCGAUGCUCUUUAGAGACUUUCUCUUUGAGCUCAAUCUUCCUCCCACUGCCUCUAUCUUGGAUAAACUCUUUUUCUAAGAAGACGGCAUGAUGGCUCAUAAUCACAUUAUAAUCCUCAGGAAGAUAGAAGUAGUAUCUCAUAAUUUUCUUAGGAUACCCUAUAAAGUGAGCUCUAAAUGAUCUAGUCUCUAACUUGUCCGCUUGCUAUUGCUUGACAUAGGUCGGACAUCUUCAAAUCUUGAGGUAACCAAGAGUUAGCUUCUUACCAUGCC